GGUACUGACAGAUAUCUUUAUUCCUCUUAAAGAUAGGAGAUUAUCUGUGGACUUUUCAGCUGCAAUUGACUGGUCCUUGAUUUUUGCUGCAAACGACUAUCCUUUGACUUUCUAUCACCAGCUGAUGUUUGCUUGCACUCAGACUGUUCAUCUAGUUAAAUACUCCAUAUGAAUUGAGGCUCUUCAGUGCCCAUGUUAUUGUCUUACUUAAUUCCCCUGUAUUCACCUUGAUUUUAUUACGCUUCAAGUCCUGUCAGUUGAACUUGGAUUUCAAUAUCCACCCUGAGGGGGUUUUUCCUUGACUGGCUGUGCAUGAAGCUAGGAGUAAUCUAGAGAGACGAUCUUGUCCUAAUUCCCCUGAAGAAGCCAAGAGGCGAAACUAGUAGGGUCGACCUGAUCGAAAAAAUGUAUUUCUAGAUCUUGC